rnacentral:lncRNA from 1 species
GGACGGAGAGCGGGAGUUGCGACCGGACGCGCGAGGCAGGGCCGAGGCCGUGUGUUCAGACCACGUGGGCGCGGGGUGCGCGACAGGGUCUGUGUCCUGCGCUGCGUGAGCCGCGGUGGGUGUCCGCGAAACGCUGUGUGUGGAGUGCGUGCGUGUGUCCGCCCUCGCCAGGCUGUUGGUCUACACCGCCCAACUUACUCAGUCAUCCAUUCAUUCAACAGUCUUGUUAACUGAGUGCCAAUUACGCUCCAGGCGCUGCGAAUACGAGUGGGUCUCCACCACCAGAAUGGCUAAAGUGAAAAAGACCGCACCGUGUGGAGGCGAGAAAGUAGAGCGACUGGACCUCUCUUGUAUUUCUGGGGGAGUGUAAAUUGGUAGAGACAUUUUGGAAAACUGGCAGUUUUCUAAUGAAGCCGAACAUAUGCCACCUCUGUGAUCCAGCAGUUCCACUCCUAGGCUGUCAACACCCAGCAGAAAUGUGUAGGUGUGAGCAUCAAGAGGGUGCAUGGGAAUGUUCAGAGCCCUUUCAUAACAGCCCCAAACUGGAAAUAACCCAUCAACAGAAUGGAAAAUGAAUGAUGCCCUACUCACUACCAUGCACAUAGACACAGCAACGGGAUUGACAUGCCCGGCUACACACAGCAACAUAGACAAGUCGCAUGAUGAAAUCUUGAGUGACAGAAGCCAAAUGCAACAGUACAUACUAGAUGGUUCCAGGUGUAUUACGUUCAGAACCAGACAAAACUAAUUUAUAGUGCACCAAAGUCAAGAUAGUGAUCGCCCUUAGGGUUGGGAGGGGACGAGGGGAGAGCUUCUGGGAGCUGAUCCAGUUCUGUUGUGUAAUCUGGUGCUGGUUCCCUGGGCAUAUGUAUUCUGUGAAAAUCCAUCACAUGACUUAAAUAAAAUGUACAUUACUUAAAUAAAA